UCUUCCUCCUGCUCCAGCCAUGUAAACUGUGCCUUCUUCCCCUUGGCCUUCCACUAUAACUGUACAUUUCCUGAGGCCUCCCCAGGCAUGCUUCCUAUAGAGUCUGCAGAAUGGAUAAAACAAUUCAUUACCACCAGAGUGAGAAAGCCAUGCCAUCCAAACCUCAAAAGAAACAGUCCAAACCCCUCCUCAACCAGAGACAUGCCAGCCCUGAGAUAAUCCGCCUACGGCUGGGAAGAUGUCAGCCCUGAGAUAACCUCCCUUCUGGAAAGAUAUCAGCCCCAAGAUAACCUCCCCUCUGCCCAGAGACAUUCCAACCCCACCAUAAAACUUCUCCCCUACACAGAAACAUUCCAAGCCAGAAGCCCCUCUCAGGUUUAUUUUUCUAAAAUAAAACUGUCUUUGACUGUUGAUCCGCA
rnacentral:lncRNA from 1 species